ACCAAGGCAAGAGAGGGGUGAGGGCAGAGGCUGGCUGGUCAGUCAGAGGAAGAAUCAGGCCUAUCCCCGCUGCAUCCUAGGAAACAUAGGGAGGAACAGAG